rnacentral:rRNA from 1 species
UACGUAGGGGGCAAGCGUUGUCCGGAAUCAUUGGGCGUAAAGAGCGUGUAGGCGGCCCGAUAAGUCCGCCGUGAAAGUCCAGGGCUCAACCCUGGAAUGCCGGUGGAAACUGUCGGGCUGGAGUCCGGAAGAGGCGAGUGGAAUUCCUGGUGUAGCGGUGAAAUGCGCGGAUAUCAGGAGGAACACCAAUGGCGAAGGCAGCUCGCUGGGACGGUACUGACGCUGAGACGCGAAAGCGUGGGGAGCAAACAGG